rnacentral:rRNA from 1 species
AUUGAACGCUGGCGGCAUGCCUUACACAUGCCAGUCGAACGGCAGCACGGACUUCGGUCUGGUGGCGAGUGGCGAACGGGUGAGUAAUGUAUCGGAACGUACCUUUCAGUGGGGGAUAACGUAGCGAAAGUUACGCUAAUACCGCAUAUUCUGUGAGCAGGAAAGCAGGGGAUCGAAAGACCUUGCGCUGAUUGAGCGGCCGAUAUCAGAUUAGCUAGUUGGUGGGGUAAAGGCCUACCAAGGCGACGAUCUGUAGCGGGUCUGAGAGGAUGAUCCGCCACACUGGAACUGAGACACGGUCCAGACUCCUACGGGAGGCUGCAGUGGGGAAUUUUGGACAAUGGGGGCAACCCUGAUCCAGCCAUGCCGCGUGAGUGAAGAAGGCCUUCGGGUUGUAAAGCUCUUUCGGCCGGGAAGAAAUCGCAUAGGCUAAUACCCUGUGUGGAUGACGGUACCGGAAUAAGAAGCACCGGCUAACUACGUG